GCAUUAUGCUGGUGUUUGAAUUGGGUUGGAACUCAGUGGACCCCUUAACAUAAUGGCUUUACCACACUGCUAAUAUUCAUAGAAUUUUCCUCCAGUAUGAAUAGUUUCAUAAUGAUGAAGAUUUUAGAGGUGUACAAAGACUUCAUUAUACUAAACCCAUUCAUAAGGAUUCUCUCUAGGACAUUUUCUUUCAUGAAAAUGAAGACUACAGAAUUGUACAAAGGCUUGGUCAGAUUAAAUACACUCAGGGUUUCUGUCUUAGUUUCAAUUGCUAUGAAGAGCCACCAUGAACACAGCAACUCCUAUAAAAGCAACCAUUUAAAUUGGGACUGGCUUACAGUUUCAGAGGUUUAUCCAUUUUCAUCAGAGCAGGAAGAAUGGAAGGGCAGAUAGAAGAAGCUGGAGAAGAAGCUGAGGGUUCUGCAUCUUGAUCCAAAGGCAGCCAGGAAGAGCCUAUCUUCCAGGGAGGUUUUAAGAGGGUCUCUUCAGCUCUGGGAUGAAUUUCAAGGCCCACCCUCAAAGUGAUGCACUUCCUCCAACAAGGUCACACUUGAUAAUAGUGCCACUCCCUUAGCCAAGCAUAUUUAAACAAACACAUUCCACAGCCUGGCCCCCAUGUGAUUGUUGAAAUACAUGAAAUAGUGUAUGGGAACCAUACUUAAACAUAGAAACAUCUUCUUUGACACUCAGAAACACUUUCCAGAAGAUUUCACCUCAGUGAUGCUGGUUUCUUCUUCAUAACCUCUAAUUUCUUAGCUACAGCUAGUCAAUACCAAUGAUCUCAGUAGUCCCUU
rnacentral:lncRNA from 1 species